AUCACAAAUUGCUACAUUUCAUUUACUUGUUAUUAUUAUUAUUUUAUCAUCAUCCAUUCUUUUCAUAACUAGUGAUGAUAGUAUGAUUUAGUAAAAAUUAGGGCACUGAAAUUACUUCAUUUUAUGGUGUUUAGAGGCUUUUAAGUUAAAUUAGUAUGAUUCUAAGCAUUUUGGAAUAUUUACUGUUUUGCUUGAAUUUCUAGGUCCUUUAUAAUAUGUCUCAGUUCAACAAGAAAGCCCAUCAAUAUGAUCAAAUUGAUCGAAUCAGUGACUUACCGAGUAAUGUCAUUGAUGGUAUCCUAGAACAUUUGGACAUCCGAGACGUAGUUAGGACUAGCAUUUUGUCAACAAAGUGGAGGUAUAUGUGGACUUCAGUCCCAACACUUUGGUUUGAUGAAUUUUUUGAUGAGUAUGAGCAUGAUGAAUUUUUUUAUGAGUAUGAGCAUCUCGUUGACUGUAGCCCUGUAGUUUCUAAAAUUAUCACGGAUGUUCUUAUGCGUCACAAUGGGACAAUAUAUCAUUUUUCUCUUUUCAUACCUCCUGAAUACAAUUUCAAGAUCACAAUGGAGCACUUUGAUACAUGGGUUCCUCUUUUGUCAAGGAAGGGCAUUAAAUAUCUUGAGCUUGCGAACCACGGAACACAUCUCGAUCAAAUGCCGUAUAUUGUCUUGUCUUGUAAGGAAUUGACUUACUUUAAAUUUGCCGGCUUUAACUUGUCAAUUCCACCUAAUUUCUCUGGGUUUAAAAGAUUGCUUAAACUUCACUUCAUCAGUGUUACAUUCGAGUCACGUGCACUUGAGAGUCUUAUUUCUGGUUGUCCGUUACUUGAAAAGCUCAACAUUGAAUAUUGUAAUGGUUUUGAAUAUUUUGAUUUUUCUGCUCCUUCUCUCAAAAUCUUAUCGCUAAACUUUGAUGAAAAUGUGGAGUCAAUUUGUCUCAAGAAAGCAAAGAAUCUGAUUGAUCUUACACUCAUUGCUGCUGAAGGCUGGGUAUCUGGUUUGAUCAAAAGCUUGCCAAAAAAUUUGCAGAGGUUUUCCAUUGGUUCAAAUUACAAUAACGAGGUAAUUACCCAUAUUCAUGCUCCUACUCAAAAUGCGGGUUUUUACCCUACCCAUAUGAAUAUUUUUUGCGGGUGUCCGCUAAAUACGGGUCAAAUUGCCGUCCCUACUACUUCAGUUCAGAGUUCAGAGACUAGAGUUCAGACUUCACUUCCACCGUUCGAUCCAAUAAGCACCGCCAUUCCUCCGUUCAACCGGCGCCGCAUUUACUCCUUCGUCCGUAACUCCACCGUAGCUCUCAAUCACAAUCUCUCUCUGCGCCCUUCAACACUGUAACAUGCCGUCGCAAGUGCUUCAGGCUAUUUUUCUGUGCUUUCUUACUUAUUGCUUAUUUUUUGACAAAUACUUAGUGAUCUAUCUAUUCAUGUUAUUGUUACUAGUAUUAUUUUUCUGUGCUUCAUUAUUCCAACACUGAAAUGUAUGGAUAUUAGUAUCUUUUGGUAAAAAGAGAGUGAAAUGAACUUGGAGUCUAGUCUUUCACUCUUGUUCUUAUGCUGGCUUCUAUAGUGUACUUUGGAUUAAUGCAUUAUUUGGAGAUUCUUUAAUUCAAUUCUAUUAAUAGAGACCCCUUCAUUCCAAAUUGGUUUGAUUUUAUUGUAUCAAUCUAUAAUUGACAUCACCAAGGGUUCAUAACCCUUGCACAUUCCUAGGCAUGCAGUUUAUUUGAUGGAAGUUAAUUUAUGUGGUAUGUAUCUGCAGUAAUUUGCAUCUGAACAUAAUGUUCGUGCAUUCAUUGUCAAUAAAAAUCUUACAUAAAUGACACAUUAUUUGAGCAAAUAUACUAUUGCGAAUAAACAAUGUGUCAUUUAUUCUUGGUGGAAACAAUUCUUAGUCAGACUUUACUUACCCCGCGUCCGAACUCUAGAUUACUUGGGCCCCAUUCCCUUGAGAACCAGGGGGUUAAUACCAAAAAAAAUGUCAUUGGUGUGUGUGGAAAGAAAUAAAAAAGUAUCUUUGUUGUUCAUUGCAUCUAUUUUUUAAACAAACAUAGUAAUAUUGAAAUAUGGGCCGGGUCGUGCCAUUAGCAGUUAGACACACAAAUUAGUUCUCUCUCACCGCAGCAACUAGUAACCCUAGCGCGGACAUUUAAGCAUCAGAAACAAGGUGCACUGCGGCGGCUCCCAGCAAUCAUCUCCGGAGCCUUCGUGCUGUCAGCGGUCCCUUAUAUAUGUCUGUGCUCAACAAGAAUGGCAAUCAAGAUGGAUAACAUUGAUCGAAUCAGUGACUUACCAAGUAAUGUCAUUGAUGGCAUCCUAGAACACUUGGACAUCCAAGACCAAGUUAGGACUAGUAUUUUAUCAACAAAGUGGAGGUAUUUGUGGACUUCAGUCCCACAACUUAAAUUUGACACAAACUUUUUUGAUAGUUUCCAGUAUCUCGAUAACCCUGGCCCUGUAGUUGUUGAUGUCAUCACGGAUGUUAUUAUGAUCCACAAUGGUCCGAUUUAUAAGUUCACUCUUUCCAUACCAUAUGGCGACGAGAUCACAAUGGAACACCUCAGUAAGUGGUUUCAGAUUUUGUCAGGGCGGAGGGACAUUAAAUAUCUUGAGCUAGCGAACUUCAGUACAGCUUUCAAUCAAAUGCCGGAUAUUGUCUUUUCUUGGAAGGAAUUGACCGACUUUAAAUUUUACGGAUUUAACUUAUCAAUUCCUCCUAAUUCCUGCUGCUUUAAAAAAUUGGUUAAUCUCUACUUACAUUGUGUUGCAUUCGAGUCCGGUGCGCUUGAGGGUCUUAUUUCUAGUUGUCCGUUACUUGAAAAGCUCAGCAUUCAACACUGUGAUGGUUUUGAAUAUUUUGACUUUGCUGCUCCUUCUCUGAAAGUCUUAUAUCUAGACAUUGAUCAAGAUACAAAGUCAAUUUGUCUCAAGAAAGCAAAGAAUCUGAUUGAUCUUACACUUGUGGCUGAUGGAGGUUGGGUAUCUGGUUUGAUCAAAAGUUUGCCAAAAAUUCAGAAUCUUAACAUUCAUUUAUGGUUCGAUAACAAGAUCCUCCCGAUUGCAGAUGUUAUUCCACCCAUGCUGUUAAAAAGCUCAUUUGGCUCUAUAGAGUGUCUGAAAUUGGAUGGUGUGUGUUUGAAUGAAUGUCGAGAACUUUUGUAUAUUGUUAGUGUACUCAAAAGUGCUCCUAGCUUGGUUGAACUUGUUAUACAGGGUUACGACUGUAUAGAUAUUACUCCAGCGCCCGAUCAUUUGGAGGAGUUUGAAUGCAGUAGCUGUUGCCUUAAUCGACUCCAGACAGUGGAUAUCUCCAUUAAGUCUUGCCCUCAGUAUGCAAUGUGUUUGAUUGAGUUCAUACUUGCAAAUUCUGCGUCGUUGGAGACUCUUACUUUUAGAGUUGGUCUUGGUCCUCAGAGAGUAUAUGCACUUGUGUUGUUAGGAAUUUCACAAGACUUGUUAUUGAUGAAACGAGCAUCACAAAGAGCACAGGUUGAGUUCCUUCAUUUUGGUGAUGAUUAGUUGUGUUUAUUGACAAACAAUUUAUGAUAGCCAAAUGGUUGUCACAUUGAACCAGUGUUUAAUUUCUUUUUCCCCAGGCCAUUUGAUAUUAUGUGGCCAUUGUUUAGACUCGUUAACUUUCUGUUUUGGUUAUUUUUUGGAUGAUUUUAGAUUCUUGGAUGAUGAAUCAUGUAUGUUUAAAUGACAAUUAGUAUGUUUUUGAAUUUGUUUACUAGUUAAAUUUCCUUUGGAUGGUCUUUUUUUGGAUCAAGUGGUCUAGUAAUUAGAUAUUCACCCAUUGAGGUGAAUAAGUGAGAUUAGAAAUCUCAGGUUUGAACUCUGGUCUUGCAUUUAU